CCCUUAGACGUUCUGGGCCGCACGCGCGCUACACUGACCAGUGCAACAAGCAUCCGUCCUUGGCCGACAGGCUCGGGCAAUCUUUGAACGCUGGUCGUGAUGGGGAUAGACUUUUGCAAUUUUUGGUCUUCAACGAGGAAUUCCUAGUAAACGCAAGUCAUCAACUUGCAUUGAUUACGUCCCUGCCCUUUGUACACACCGCCCGUCGCUCCUACCGAUUGAAUGGUCCGGUGAAGCGUUUGGACUAUGGUUUUCUGACGGUUCGCCAUUGGAUUACCGUGGGAAAUUCGUUAAACCUUAUCAUUUAGAGGAAGGAGAANUCGUANCA
rnacentral:rRNA from 1 species